rnacentral:rRNA from 1 species
CCUACGGGUGGCAGCAGUGGGGGAUAUUGCACAAUGGGGGGAACCCUGAUGCAGCGACGCCGCGUGGGUGAAGAAGCGCCUCGGCGCGUAACGCCCUGUCAGCAGGGAAGAAAAUGACGGUACCUGAAGAAGAAGCCCCGGCUAACUACGUGCCAGCAGCCGCGGUAAUACGUAGGGGGCAAGCGUUAUCCGGAUUCAUUGGGCGUAAAGCGCGCGUAGGCGGCUGCCUAAGCGGAACCUCUAACCCCGGGGCUCAACCUCGGGCCGGGUUCCGUACUGGGCGGCUCGAGUGCGGUAGAGGAGAGCGGAAUUCCCGGUGUAGCGGUGGAAUGCGCAGAUAUCGGGAAGAACACCGAUGGCGAAGGCAGCUCUCUGGGCCGGCACUGACGCUGAGGCGCGAAAGCUGGGGGAGCGAACAGGAUUAGAUACCCCAGUAGUC